GGGCACUUGGUGUAGAUGGUUAUCACGCUCGCUUAGCACUAGAAAUCUGCGAGAGGGGACCGGUUCAAUUCCGGUAGUGUCCA
rnacentral:tRNA from 1 species